rnacentral:lncRNA from 1 species
GUAGUAGAAUAAGAGGAGAAGUAGAAGUAGAAGAAGAAGUAGAAGAAGAGGAGAAAUAGAAGAAGAGGAAAAAUUAGUUUAGGGUUACAAGAAGAAGAAAUAUUAUUUUUGUCAUUUAAUUUUGCUAUUGUAUAGUGUAUAUGCUUAAGUGUUAAUAGUGUUUCUUAGAUUAUUGCUUAAUUUUGCUAUUGUAUAUGCUUAAGUGUUAAUAGUUUAUUUUUUCUAUUGUAUAUGCUUAAGUGUUAAUAGUUUAUUUUUAGCAAGAAAAUUAAUAUAACUAGUUUAAUUUUGCUAUUGUAUAUGCUUAAGUGUCCGGGACUGGGCUCCGCCCGGCUGGUAUUUUAGAGUUUAGGUUCUAGCCAAGACCAGGGACUAAAGGUCCUCCUAUAUAAAAC